rnacentral:rRNA from 1 species
UACGUAUGGUGCGAACGUUGUUCGGAAUCACUGGGCAUAAAGAGCACGUAGGCGGUUGAACAAGUCUGAUGUGAAAUCCCCCAGCUUAACUGGGGAACUGCAUCAGAAACUGUUUGACUAGAGUGCAGGAGGGGAGAGUGGAAUUCCAGGUGGAGCGGUGAAAUGCGUAGAUAUCUGGAGGAACGCCGGCGGCGAAAGCGACUCUCUGGUCUGCAACUGACGCUGAGGUGCGAAAGCUAGGGGAGCAAACGGG